rnacentral:rRNA from 1 species
AACGAACGCUGGCGGCAGGCUUAACACAUGCAAGUCGAGCGCCCCGCAAGGGGAGCGGCAGACGGGUGAGUAACGCGUGGGAAUCUACCCAUCUCUACGGAAUAACGCAUGGAAACGUGUGCUAAUACCGUAUACGUCCUUCGGGAGAAAGAUUUAUCGGAGAUGGGUGGGCCCGCGUGGGAUUAGCUAGUUGGUGGGGUAAAGGCCUACCAAGGCGACGAUCCAUAGCUGGUCUGAGAGGAUGAUCAGCCACACUGGGACUGAGACACGGCCCAGACUCCUACGGGAGGCAGCAGUGGGGAAUAUUGGACAAUGGGCGCAAGCCUGAUCCAGCCAUGCCGCGUGAGUGAUGAAGGCACUAGGGUUGUAAAGCUCUUUCACCGGUGAAGAUAAUGACGGUAACCGGAGAAGAAGCCCCGGCUAACUUCGUGCCAGCCGCCGCCGUAAGAC